rnacentral:rRNA from 1 species
GUAACACGUAGUCAACAUGCCCAGGGGACGUGGAUAACCUCGGGAAACUGAGGAUAAGCCGCGAUAGGUCACUACUUCUGGAAUGGGUAAUGACUCAAACCUAUAUGGCCCCUGGAUUGGACUGCGGCCGAUCAGGCUGUUGGUGAGGUAAUGGCCCACCAAACCUGUAACCGGUACGGGCUCUGAGAGGAGGAGCCCGGAGAUGGGCACUGAGACAAGGGCCCAGGCCCUAUGGGGCGCAGCAGGCGCGAAACCUCUGCAAUAGGCGAAAGCCUGACAGGGUUACUCUGAGUGAUCUCCGUUAAGGAGAUCUUUUGGCACCUCUAAAAAUGGUGCAGAAUAAGGGGUGGGCAAGUCUGGUGUCAGCCGCCGCGGUAAUACCAGCACCCCGAGUGGUCGGGACGUUUAUUGGGCCUAAAGCAUCCGUAGCCGGUUCUACAAGUCUUCCGUUAAAUCCAGCUGCUUAACAGAUGGGCUGCGGAAGAUACUAUGGAACU